rnacentral:misc_RNA from 1 species
UUUCCGUAGGUGAACCUACGGAAGGAUCAUUGUCAUGACCCAGACCAAAACAGACCGCGCACGCGUCAUCCAAUCCGCCGAUGAUGGCCCCGUCCGUCGCUCGGCCAAGUCCUUGACCGCCCCCUCCUCGGAGUGGGGGCUCGGGGUAAAAGAACCCACGGCGCCGAAGGCAUCAAGGAACACUGUGCCUAACCCGGGGGCAUGGCUAGCUUGCUAGUCGUCCCCCGUGUUGCAAAGCUAUUUAAUCCACACGACUCUCGGCAACGGAUAUCUCGGCUCUC